UGGGGAUGACGUCAAAUCAUCAUGCCCCUUAUGACCUGGGCUACACACGUGCUACAAUGGACAGAACAAAGGGCAGCGAAACCGCGAGGUUAAGCCAAUCCCACAAAUCUGUUCUCAGUUCGGAUCGCAGUCUGCAACUCGACUGCGUGAAGCUGGAAUCGCUAGUAAUCGCGGAUCAGCAUGCCGCGGUGAAUACGUUCCCGGGCCUUGUACACACCGCCCGUCACACCACGAGAGUUUGUAACACCCGAAGUCGGUGAGGUAACCUUUUAGGAGCCAGCCGC
rnacentral:rRNA from 1 species